rfam:Schistosoma curassoni strain Dakar, Senegal genome assembly, scaffold: SCTD_scaffold0000331
AUCCAGUUGACAAGUCUCAAAUAAGACGAAACGCGCUUCCAGGAU